rnacentral:lncRNA from 1 species
AAGGUCUGGCAUUGCUCUUGGAGCUGCCAGAGGGAUUGCAUACAUCCACUCUCAGGGCCCUGCAAACUCUCAUGGAAACAUUAAGUCAUCAAAUAUCCUCCUCACCACUUCGUUUGAAGCCCGUGUCUCUGACUUCGGCCUUGCACACCUAGCAGGUCCUACCCCCACUCCCAACCGCAUCGAUGGCUAUCGUGCACCAGAAGUGACGGAUGCUCGUAAAGUAUCCCAAAAAGCUGAUGUCUACAGCUUUGGUAUAUUGCUGUUGGAAUUGCUCACAGGAAAGGCUCCAACACAUACGCAAUUGAAUGAUGAGGGUGUAGACCUUCCAAGAUGGGUCCAAUCUGUU